rnacentral:lncRNA from 10 species
GUCCUUGCUUCCCUUUCACCUUCUUCCACUGUAUGUUUCCUGAGGUCUCCCAGUCAUGCUUCCUGUUAAGCCUGCAGAACUAGUCAAGAAACCUUUUUUUUUGAGCUAUUUACAGUUGUUAAAAAUUGAGUAAAUUAUACUCCUAUGAGAAAACUUUGGAGCAUAUUUCUUUCUACCUGAUUUCUCAAGAAUUUGAAAACUAUUUAUAUCACCUUUUGUGAGAACUCGGGAGUUAGGAAUGGCCUUCACCAUACUGAUGCUUUCUCACUGAGCUCCUCUCUACCCUGAAUAGUUACGCAAAAAUAUCAUCACCUGUAUUCAGCCAGAAGAAGCUACAGAAGAUGGAUCUUCAUCUGUCUGCAAAUUUUGGGAUUAAGGGUCCCUUUGGGGGUAUUGGGGAAAAUAUGUCAGAACUAUUUAAACCAGAGCAACUCCAUCUUGAAUAGGGGAUAGAUAAAAUGAGCUGAGACCACCUGUGCUCCAUUCCUAAGAGGUCAGGCAUUCUUAGUUACAGGAUGAGAUAGGACAUUACAAGACAGAUACAGGUCACAAAGAACCCACUGAAAAAACAGGAAGCAGUAAAGAAGCCAGCCAAAACUAAGAUGGUGAGGAAAUUGACCUCUGGUCAUCCUCACAGCUUAUCUUAGGCUAUUUAUAAUGCAUUAGCAUGCUAAAAGACAUUCCCACCAGUGCCAUGGCAGUUUACAAAUGCCAUGGCAACAUCCAGAACUUACCCUAUAUGGUCUAAAAGAAAGAGAAACCCUCAGUUCUGGGAAUUCCCCACCCCUUUCCAGGAAAAUUCAUGAAUAAUCCACCCCUUGCUUAGCAUAUAAUCAAG